rnacentral:rRNA from 1 species
GGCGGACGGGUGAGUAAUGCCUAGGAAUCUGCCUGGUAGUGGGGGAUAACGUCCGGAAACGGGCGCUAAUACCGCAUACGUCCUGAGGGAGAAAGUGGGGGAUCUUCGGACCUCACGCUAUCAGAUGAGCCUAGGUCGGAUUAGCUAGUUGGUGGGGUAAAGGCCUACCAAGGCGACGAUCCGUAACUGGUCUGAGAGGAUGAUCAGUCACACUGGAACUGAGACACGGUCCAGACUCCUACGGGAGGCAGCAGUGGGGAAUAUUGGACAAUGGGCGAAAGCCUGAUCCAGCCAUGCCGCGUGUGUGAAGAAGGUCUUCGGAUUGUAAAGCACUUUAAGUUGGGAGGAAGGGCAGUAAGUUAAUACCUUGCUGUUUUGACGUUACCAACAGAAUAAGCACCGGCUAACUUCGUGCCAGCAGCCGCGGUAAUACGAAGGGUGCAAGCGUUAAUCGGAAUUACUGGGCGUAAAGCGCGCGUAGGUGGUUCAGCAAGUUGGAUGUGAAAUCCCCGGGCUCAACCUGGGAACUGCAUCCAAAACUACUGAGCUAGAGUACGGUAGAGGGUGGUGGAAUUUCCUGUGUAGCGGUGAAAUGCGUAGAUAUAGGAAGGAACACCAGUGGCGAAGGCGACCACCUGGACUGAUACUGACACUGAGGUGCGAAAGCGUGGGGAGCAAACAGGAUUAGAUACCC